GAAGAGAGAAAGGCAAGUGAAGCAAACCUUUGUUGUGACUGCCUUCCACCUGAAAACUUAUGUUCUCAUUGUGACAAGCCAUGUGGAUCUAGAAUAGGUCAACAAGAGUCACUUAUGAACCCACCACCAGGACUCUAUCUUUAGAAGAGAAUCCUACUCGGCCUUGAGUGAUCGCCUAUAGUAAAAUACAGUCUUGUCAAGAAAACUCUGUGAUACAUUGACCUUAGGGUCACCAUAGAUCAGAAAUUGCUCGAAGGUAAACAACAACAACAAAGGGUACAACCACACUUUAGAAUUAAUGCAGUUUGAAACCACUUUCACUGAUGUGGCUUAAUGCUGUGUCAUCCUGGUAGUUCUAGUUUUACAAGAUCUUCUGCCUUUUCUACUGAAGAGUGCUAAUUUCUCGCCAAACUACAAUUGCCAUGAUUCCAUAAGAUUAUGUCAUGGCACUUCAGGUGGCAUCAAACUUCAUUAAUUCUGCAGCGAAGAUACACCCAAAUUCUAAUUCCAGAGUGCAUGCAGGUAUAGUAUAUUGUUUGUCCUUUUGCAGAUUUGAAUUUUUAAACACAUUUCUUACCUACCUUGUAGUUAUAUGGUAGGUAAAAUGUAAAUAAAAUAGGGUGCCAGAUACAAUAAGCACAGGGCUGUUGUAUCUUUAAUAGUUGUUUGUGUGUGUUGGGUUGGAAGGCAUGGCAGGUGGAAUUUUUCAUGCAAGUGUCAUUUGAAGACAUUCUCUCUUUCACCAAUCUCAUUUGCACAUGGCCAACUUGCUGAAGAUAAACUUUGAAAAAGCGCAAGACAGAUUGCUUAAAGAUUUUUUUUCUUCAUAGGUUUCCACAUAAGUAGCAGUAUAUCUGUAUAAAGGGAUUCCUUGAGAGCAAUUUUUAAAGGAUCAGUCAAAAGUCUGGUGUUGCUAUUUAAUGAUUAGGUAAUUGACAUUUGCUGGUGUAUAUAUAUCUCUACACGAAAGAAAAGAGUAUAGAUUGAAGCUUAUCUCUCCCAGAGGAAGGCUCUUCAUAAGGAUGGAUUACAAAUCUUCAGCUACUGGAGUUCUCGUCCUGCUUGGACUUCUGCUGCACAUACUUGAGGGACAGAAAAUCCAAGUUCGUGAAAGCUUUAUUCAUGGGAAAGAUCUGGACAAAAGGAUGGCUAAUAAUUCAUACCUGUUACAGCAAUGCCAGGACUCCAAGUUCAGCGAUAAUGGGAAAACAAUUCUAUCUUGUGAUGAAGAGACUGAGCCAAUCCCAGCCACACUACAUGUAACAGAGGAAAAUUACCUAAAUCAAGGCUGGUGCAAAACACAAGAGAUAAGUCAAACAAUCCAUGAAGAAGGCUGCAAGAGCUACACCUUUAUCAACAGGUUCUGUUAUGGCCAGUGCAAUUCCUUCUACAUCCCAUGGCACAUCCACGAUAAGAGAGGUGUUUUCCAAGCUUGUUAUUUCUGCAAACCGAAGCGAUUCACCACCAUCACAGUGAUAUUGCACUGCCCAGACCUUUUACCCCCGAGGAAGAGAAUGAGGGUCAGGCAAGCUGAGGACUGCCACUGUGUGCCUGUGGAUGUCUACUGAGAUAUCUUCUAGUUCACAACAUGGCAACUCCUUAAAUAACUUCAUUGAGAAGGCUUAUGUAGAAAUAUCGAUCUCAAAAUCAUGCGUACAGAGUCACACUACUACUUUGGACUGUAGGUUGUUACUUGCAUACUUACAAUCUUUUUCUUUCAGGCCCUGUCUCUCACCAAUUCACCUGCAUGCUAAGCUUCCUGCCGGGAUCUAUACUAUUGACUUUCAUGAUAUUCAGUAACAUGUUGGGGAGGGAGGCGGGGAGGGCACUGGUGUGUAUUGGGCUCAGAGUUGUUGCUUCCUAAAGGAGCAGUUAAAAGGAAUGCUGUUGGGGAUUGUUAUUGAAACACCUUUUGUAAAUAAUAUUUAAUGACAAUAAUAAAGGCUUCAAUUGUGAUUUUAAAGAA